rnacentral:pre_miRNA from 1 species
UAUUUCCUUUUACUUGGUGAAUUGUUGGAUCACUCUGUGUCAACCAACCAUAUUGGAUUUGGAGCUUCAUGCAGAAGACAAAAGAGAUGCAAGCCAGAGGAAAUAUAGAAUGAUCCAACAUUUCACUAUGUAAAAGGAUUGC